GCCGGGGUAGCUCAGCUGGGAGAGCAACAGACUGAAGCGUGGUCAUCCUUCUACGGCUACGGAGCAAUCUGGAGGUCCCGUGUUCAAUCCACGGUCCUGGCA